UGGGGAAUUUUGGACAAUGGGGGAAACCCUGAUCCAGCCAUCCCGCGUGUGCGAUGAAGGCCUUCGGGUUGUAAAGCACUUUUGGCAGGAAAGAAACGUCGCGGGUUAAUACCCCGCGAAACUGACGGUACCUGCAGAAUAAGCACCGGCUAACUACGUGCCAGCAGCCGCGGUAAUACGUAGGGUGCAAGCGUUAAUCGGAAUUACUGGGCGUAAAGCGUGCGCAGGCGGUUCGGAAAGAAAGAUGUGAAAUCCCAGAGCUUAACUUUGGAACUGCAUUUUUAACUACCGGGCUAGAGUGUGUCAGAGGGAGGUGGAAUUCCGCGUGUAGCAGUGAAAUGCGUAGAUAUGCGGAGGAACACCGAUGGCGAAGGCAGCCUCCCGGGAUAACACUGACGCUCAUGCACGAAAGCGUGGGGAGCAAACAGGAUUAGAUACCCUGGUAGUCCACGCCCUAAACGAUGUCAACUAGCUGUUGGGGCCUUCGGGCCUUGGUAGCGCAGCUAACGCGUGAAGUUGACCGCCUGGGGAGUAC
rnacentral:rRNA from 1 species